AGAGUUUGAUCAUGGCUCAGAUUGAACGCUGGCGGCGUGCCUUACACAUGCAAGUCGAACGGUAACGCGGGGCAACCUGGCGACGAGUGGCGAACGGGUGAGUAAUACAUCGGAACGUGCCCAGUAGUGGGGGAUAGCCCGGCGAAAGCCGGAUUAAUACCGCAUACGACCUACGGGUGAAAGCGGGGGAUCGCAAGACCUCGCGCUAUCGGAGCGGCCGAUGUCAGAUUAGCUAGUUGGUGGGGUAAAGGCCUACCAAGGCGACGAUCUGUAGCUGGUCUGAGAGGACGACCAGCCACACUGGGACUGAGACACGGCCCAGACUCCUACGGGAGGCAGCAGUGGGGAAUUUUGGACAAUGGGCGCAAGCCUGAUCCAGCCAUGCCGCGUGCGGGAAGAAGGCCUUCGGGUUGUAAACCGCUUUUGUCAGGGAAGAAACGCUCCGAGCUAACACCCCGGAGUAAUGACGGUACCUGAAGAAUAAGCACCGGCUAACUACGUGCCAGCCGCCGCGGUAAUAC
rnacentral:rRNA from 1 species